UGAGCUGUUCUCCGGGGAUGGUGACACUGUGUCUGAAGCCUUGCAGCAGCUCUUGGUUUAUCACAUCAAUGCCAAGCAGGUAUGACAGGGAAAUACUUGCUGGCAGUGCUGUGGUAGUGCCAGGGGUUAGUUGUGUGGU
ensembl:miRNA gga-mir-6649 gga-mir-6649